rnacentral:rRNA from 1 species
UACGUAGGGUGCUAGCGUUGUUCGGAAUCAUUGGGCGUAAAGCGCGUGUAGGCUGCUAGGUAAGUCUUGUGUGAAAUCCCUGGGCUCAACCGAGGAAGUGCAUGGGAAACUACCUAGCUAGAAGACGGUAGAGGAAGGUGGAAUUCCUAGUGUAGAGGUGAAAUUCGUAGAUAUUAGGAGGAAUACCGGUGGCGAAGGCGGCCUUCUGGGCCGAUCUUGACGCUGAGACGCGAAAGCGUGGGUAGCAAACAGG